rnacentral:rRNA from 1 species
AUUGAACGCUGGCGGAAUGCUUUACACAUGCAAGUCGAACGGCAGCACGGACUUCGGUCUGGUGGCGAGUGGCGAACGGGUGAGUAAUGUAUCGGAACGUGCCCAGUCGUGGGGGAUAACGUAGUGAAAAUUACGCUAAUACCGCAUACGAUCUAUGGAUGAAAGCGGGGGAUCGCAAGACCUCGCGCGAUUGGAGCGGCCGAUAUCAGAUUAGGUAGUUGGUGGGGUAAAGGCGCACCAAGCCAACGAUCUGUAGCUGGUCUGAGAGGACGACCAGCCACACUGGAACUGAGACCCGGUCCAGACUCCUACGGGAGGCAGCAGUGGGGAAUUUUGGACAAUGGGCGAAAGCCUGAUCCAGCCAUUCCGCGUGCAGGAUGAAGGCCCUCGGGUUGUAAACUGCUUUUGUACAGAACGAAAAGGUUUCAACUAAUACUAGGAGCUCAUGACGGUACUGUAAGAAUAAGCACCGGCUAACUACGUGCCAGCCGCCGCCGUAA